rfam:Roseovarius sp. BRH_c41 BRHa_1000957, whole genome shotgun sequence.
CAGCGAGGACGACCUCCACAUCUGGACAACAGCCCGGGACGACCCGG